UCCGUGUUAACCACGGCAGUCUGUCUAGAGUGCCCAACUUAAUGCUGGCAACUAAACACAGGGGUUGCGCUCGUUGAGGGACUUAACCCGACAUGCCACCACACGAGCUGACGACAGCCAUGCAGCACCUGUCACUUUGUCGUAUUGCUACGAAAACCGUAUCUCUACGGCGGUCAAAGGAUGUCAAAUCCAGGUAAGGUUCUGCGCGUUGCUUCGAAUUAAACCACAUAAUCCACCGCUUGUGCGGGCUCCCGUCAAUUCCUUUGAGUUUUAGUCUUGCGACCGUACUUCCCAGGCGGGGUACUUAUCGCGUUAGCUUCGAGACAGCAGGGGUCAACUCCCGCUAUCUCUAGUACCCAUCGUUUACAGCGUGGACUAC
rnacentral:misc_RNA from 1 species